AUUGAACGCUGGCGGCAUGCCUUACACAUGCAAGUCGAACGGCAGCACGGGUGCUUGCACCUGGUGGCGAGUGGCGAACGGGUGAGUAAUACACCGGAACGUACCUUAUCGUGGGGGAUAACGCAGCGAAAGCUGUGCAAAUACCGCAUACGCCCUGAGGGGGAAAGCGGGGGAUCGCAAGACCUCGCGCGAUUAGAGCGGCCGAUGCCUGAUUAGCUAGUUGGUGGGGUAAAAGCCCACCAAGGCGACGAUCAGUAGCUGGUCUGAGAGGACGAUCAGCCACACUUGGACUAAGACACGGCCCAGACUCCUACGGGAGGCAGCAGUGGGGAAUUUUGGACAAUGGGGGCAACCCUGAUCCAGCAAUGCCGCGUGAGUGAAGAAGGCCUUCGGGUUGUAAAGCUCUUUUGUCAGGGAAGAAACACCGGCUCUAACACAGUCCGGGAAUGACGGUACCUGAAGAAUAAGCACCGGCUAACUACGUGCCAGCAGCCGCGGUAA
rnacentral:rRNA from 1 species